GACAAAUGGAUUCCAUGUUUGCAGGAAAACACGCUGGAGGCACAGGAAAACUUUGUUGUUUAUGAAGAACACGUGAAAACAAUCAAAUCCGAAUUAUCUUCCUGUUGUUCCAGCUUUUGUCUUUGCAGUUUUCAGUCUGUUUGCCAGGAGUGUCGCCACCCAGCGAGCAAGUCUAGUUUCCCUGUCCCGAUGGAGGUCCGACCAGACGAACAUGCAAUAAUCAGCCCCAGUCGUCCUGGCUCAGCGGGCCCCAGAGCUGCAGCCCUCGGUCCCGGGACUACACGGCCUUUCAUCUCAAUCCCAUCCAAUCGAUCCCCAGCUUCACCAAAACCACCACCACCCACACCACCGCCUCCGACCCUCAACCUCCAACCCUUGACCCCUCCACCCCCAGUUCUGGCUCCCUGGCGAAGGGUUACACAAGGAUUACAUCAGUAAAAAGAUGGUUGUGGUCUAAGUCCUUGUCAUUGUCGAUGUGUUUCUCAAGAAACAACAAGAAAAGAGCUCACCCAUUCACCCCACAAUAAAUUAGAUGUCCUACGGACUAGUGUGGCUGUUCUAUGCAAACAUGUUGUAAUGGACUCACAGGCCCAAGAAACCUUUCUGCUGUAUAUCAAGUUUUAAUGUCACAUGCACAAGUACAGUAUAAUGCCUUUCUUGAAAGCUAAAAACCCAACGAUGCAGUAAUCAAUAUCAAUGUAGUACUAAAAAUAACACGAGGUAGAACGAAAAUAAGAACAGCAGAAGUAAGUAUGGGGUCAGUUCCAAUACCAUAUUUACAAUGUGUAGGGAUACUGGAGUGAUAGCGGUAGAUACAGUUGAAGUCUGAAGUUUACAUACACUUAGGUUGGAGUCAUUAAAACUUAUUUUUCAACCACUCCACAAAUUUCUUGAUAACAAACCGUAGUUUUGGCAAGUAGGUUAGGACAUCUACUUUGUGCAUGAUAAAAGUAAUUUUUCCAACAACUGUUUACAGACAGAUUAUUUCACUUAUAAUUCACUGUAUCACAAUUCCAGUGGGUCAGAAGUUUACAUACACUAAGUUGACUGUGCCUUUAAACAGCUUGGAAAAUUCCAGAAAAUGAUGUCAUAGCUUUAGAAGCUUCUGAUAGGCUAAUUGACAUCAUUUGAGUCAAUUGGAGGUGUACCUGUGGAUGGAUUUCAAGGCCUACCUUCAAACUCAGCAUCUCUUUGCUUGACAUCAUGGGAAAAUCAAAUUAAAUCAGCCAAGAACUCAGAUUUUUUUUAGACCUCCACAAGUCUGGUUCAUCCUUGGGAGCAAGCUACCAAAUGUCUGAAGGUACGACACUCAUCUGUACAAACAAAAGUACGCAAGUAUAAACACCAUGGGACCACGCAGCAGUCACACCGCUCUCUGUCUCCCAGAGAUGGACAUACUUUGGUGUGAAAAGUGCAAAUCAUUCCCAGAACAACAGCAAAGGACCUUGUGAAGAUGCUGGAGGAAACAGGUACAAACGUAUCUAUAUCCAUAGUAAAAACGAGUCCUAUAUCGACAUAACCUGAAAGGCCGCUCAGCAAGAAAGAAGCCACUGCUCCAAAACCGCCAUAAAAAAAGGCAGACUACGGUUUGCAACUGCACAUGGGGACAAAGAUUGUUAUUUUUGGAGAAAUGUCCUCUGGUCUGAUGUUUGGCCAUAAAUACCAUCGUUAUGUUUGGAGGACAAAGGGGGAGGCUUGCAAGCCAAAGAACACCAUCCCAACCGUGAAGCACGGGGGUGGCAGGAUCAUGUUGUGGGGGUGCUUUGCUGCAGGAGGGACACUUCAGAAAAUAGAUGGCAUAAUGUUGAUAUAUUGAAGCAACAUCUCAAGACAUCAGUCAGGAAGUUAAAGCUUGCUCACAAAUGGGUCUUUCAAAUGGACAAUGACCCCAAGCACACUUCCAAAGUUGUGGCAAAUUGGCUUAAGGACAACAAAGUAAAGGUAUUGGAGUGGCCAACACAUAGCCCUGACCUCAAUCCUAUAGAAAAAUUGUGGGCAGAACGGAAAAAGCGUGUACGAGCAAGGAGGCCUACAAACCUGACUCAGUUACACCAGCUCUGUCAAGAGGAAUGGGCCAAAAUUCACCCAACUUAUUGUGGGAAGCUUGUGGAUGGCUACCCGAAACAUUUGACCCAAGUUAAAUCAUUUAAAGGCAGUGCUACCAAAUACUAAUCGAGUGUAUGUAAACUUCUGACCCACUGGGAUUGUGAUGAUAGAAAUAAAAAUAUUAAAUAAAUCACUCUCUCAACUAUUAUUCUGACAUUUCACAUUCUUAAAAUAAAGUGGUGAUCCUAACUGACCUAAGACAGGGAAUUUUUACUUGGAUUAAAUGUCAGGAAUUGUGAAAAACUGAGUUUAAAUGUAUUUGCCUAAGGUGCAUGUAAACUUCCGACUUCAACUGUAUGUAUUGGGUUAAGGUGGCUAGGCAUCAGGAUAUAUGAUAAACAGCAGUGGAUGAUUGUAUGUGAAUGUAUAUGCAUGUAGAGCAGUGGUCACCAACCUUUUUUGAUUCAAGAUCACUUUUGCAGUCAAAAAGCAAAAUUAUUUUUAAACAUGACUUUAAAAAGGUAACAUUAACCUAAUAAAAACAAUUCUGUAAGAAUGGGGUUUGUGCAGUAGGCCUAAUACAUUAUCAUAGCAUAUUGGCUAUAUUCCUGGCCUGCCAAUAUUAUUCAUCUCAGACCAUAUUAUAUUUCAAA